UUCCUGAUUUCUAAAGCGGUUUGCGGGAAAUUAAAUAGAUUUUUUGCACACUCUGUUUAUUUCAUAUCACUAAUUUUAGAACUAGUAUCAGUUUUACGGAUAUUUUUAUGGUUUUUGAUGCUGAGUGCGCUAACAGCUAACAGCUAGUUAAAAAAACUGACUUGAUAGCACAUUGUUAAGCUAGUUACGUUUUUCUCGUUUCGACUGUAUUUGCAGCAGUUUAAACGCAACUGUCCAUUUCUCGCUGUAAACAUCAAUGCCCAGACCUCUACUCAAGGAAGUAAAGGAGACUUUCAAGCAGUGAACUUUAAUGGUGAUGGAGAGUGAUGGAUAACCCGACAGCAAAUAAGAGCCACAUUCCCUGUCCGUCUUGGAUGGCCCAGAAUGGCUGGUCAGGAGCUUCAUCUCAGAACCCGCUUGUCAGCCUUCUCCCCACCUCCUAUGACCACAUGCAGGCAUCUCAUCAGAGUUGUACUAACAACUUGAACACUGUAUCUUCCAGAAACAACCCUCAUGCUGACAUGUAUAAAACCUCUCAUAUUGGCAGCAUUCCAUCAUCCAGCUCGCUGUUUGCCACAGAUAUCCCAAAUCUCUCUCAAGGUAUUUCUUUUAAUCAGCAAAGCUCUAACCUUUCAUCGAUCAUGGUAUCAGCGAACCAAGGAAAAAAUGUUACCCCACCAGCUCUUCGACAGUCAAACCAAGGA